rnacentral:rRNA from 1 species
UUACAGCCACACCACCCUGAACACACCUGAUCUGGUCUGAUCUCAGAAGCUAAGCAGGGUCAGGCCUGGGUAGUACUUGGAUGGGAGACCGCCUGGGAAU